rnacentral:rRNA from 1 species
AUUGACCUCUGGCGGCAGGCCUAACCCAUGCAAGUCGAGCGGAGCGGCGGACGGGUGAGUAAUGCCUAGGAAUCUGCCUGGUAGUGGGGGAUAACGUCCGGAAACGGGCGCUAAUACCGCAUACUAUCAGAUGAGCCUAGGUCGGAUUAGCUAGUUGGUGGGGUAAAGGCCUACCAAGGCGACGAUCCGUAACUGGUCUGAGAGGAUGAUCAGUCACACUGGAACUGAGACACGGUCCAGACUCCUACGGUAGGCAGCAGUGGGGAAUAUUGGACAAUGGGCGAAAGCCUGAUGCAGCCAUGCCGCGUGUAUGAAGAAGGCCUUCGGGUUGUAAAGUACUUUCAGUCGGGAGGCGUUACCGAAAGAAGAAGCACCGGCGAACUCCGUGCCAGCCGCCGCGGUAAUAC